ACUUCCCCGGCCGCCCGCUGCACACUACACGCCUUAGGGCCACUUUUGGCCCUGCCUUCUUCCCUCCUCCUCCUCUCCCUCCCUCUGCCGCUUGCAACAGCCGGAGACAAAAAUGCUUCCUCCUUCCGCGUGGUUAUCCCUCGCCACGCGGUGGCUCUCGCCAUAAACACAAAGGUUCUCGCUUUUUCUUUGGCCUACUUGGCUAAAGUCUGCGCUCCUCAGGCAAAGAAGCGAGUUGGAAAGCAGAGUGGAGAGAGCCGAGUUAGCAGAGCCCCGCUGGGCAGCGAAGGAGGCGGCCGGGAAGCGGAGCGUCUGCACCGCCCGGGGCCAGGUGGCCUAGCGAGCCCGCGCUCCCCUCCUCGGCCCCGGGUCCCAGCGCGGUGGGCGCCGAGCCCCCGAGAGCAGCGCCCGCACCCACACGCGGGCUGCUCCCAGAUUCCUACAGCUUUGAGUCGUGGGUGCCUUCUGGGAAGACAGUGUCUGCAGUCUGCAAAACACAGGCGGGGGCGGGGGCAACCCCAGAAAAAGUGGGCUGGAAACCCUCAGGGCGAUUUGUUUUUGCUUUUUGUUUUUCUCAAAGUAGAAAAGCAACUUUUAGUUCUGACUCUCUCCGUUCCUGAACAUCCCAGGCAGAACCUCUCCGGAAAAGUGAUUCAAUGAUUUUUUUUUUUUUUUAAGAUUCUAGUGCUAAGUAAGUAAAUUCUAUUUUAAGAAACUAUUAUUGAUUGUACUAGUUGAGAGAUCGGAAAUUGAACUCAGUGGAGUGGGGAGGAGUGUUCUGAUCACCCAGUGCUACAUAUAUAUAUUUUUUCACAUGUGCUGCAUAUUAUUUGCUUAACUUAUAUGAACGUUAAGUCAGGGAAAUGCUGGAGUGGAAGUGCGAAGGCGGCUGGUGUUCUCCGGUCUCUCCCUGACCUCCAGCCAUGCUCAGUCUCCGUAUCAGUGACUUGUCUGCCUGCAGCUGCCUCAAAGGAGAGAAACAGAUGUGUCCACCUAGUGACUGGCGAAAGUUAUUUCGUCCAUUUAUCCAUCCAAUGAUCAAACAAAUCAGGUAGCGUCCAAGGAGGAAGACUGAGGACUCAGCAGUUCUCGGGUCUCUUCUGGAGGGAGAUAUCUUUGUAAAAUCGGCAGGCCUGGAGAGCUCCACGCACUACACAAGGGUUCUGUCAUCUUUACUUCUCAGACGUGGGGGCAAGAGCUGAGGAAGGAGAGCCGGCCAUUAUCUCUUAAGGGACUUCAAGCUUGGCUGCGGCCAACGACCAACGUGUGAUUGUAUUUUAUGAAACCCAUCAGGAUCGUUCUCCUCUUGGUUAAGCAAUAAAGCGACAGAAGCCACAGCUUUGUCCAAUCACUUCUCUCUCGGCCCCACUCCUCCUCUCCAGUCUUCCUCAUCAUUCUUUACCUCGAGGGAGGGAGGAUGAGCAGAAAGCUUUGUACCUGUACUGAACUUCCCAGCUUAUGAAACUUCAUCAUCGAAUAGUCAAACUGGUAAGGUAGCUUUCAUUUAUUUAUUUUUAGUCAAAAUAAUUAAAAUAACAUUCAAAUAUCAGUGCCAAGGGAUAUAGAACCAAGUACUGGACAUAAAUUGUCUGGCUCAUGGCACCGUGGAUAAGGCAUUGGACUCUCGUGCAUGAGGUCCUGAGUUCAAUCCCCGGCAACACAUGUACCAGGGAUGUCUGAUUCUUUCAUUCUUCCUGAAUAAAUAAAAUCUUUUAAAAAAAAAAAAAAGUAAUAAAAUGUCUGGCUCUAAAUCCAACUCUUCUGUCUUUCUGUGGAGAUCUGAUGGGUACGGAAGCAGCGCAAGACUGAGACUGACAUACAAGUACAAAAUGCAACACCGGGGCUUCCAGAACACUCUAAACUUACCACUUUUUCAAAAACUGCACCUACAGUUUUUUUUGUUUGUUUUAACCAGAGCACUGCUCAGCUCUGGCUUGUCGUUGUGCUGGGGACUGAACCUGGGACCUUUGGUGCCUCUGGCCAGAAAGUCAUUUUGCAUAACCAUUAUGCUACCUCCCUAGGCUGCCUAUAGUUCUACAAGUAGCCUCUCUUCCAACCUUCCUGCUUUUUGUGCUCUUAUCCCCUACCUCUUUUUUUCAAGAGAAAGAAACAGACUUCUAAAUAA